CCUACGGGAGGCAGCAGUCGAGAAUAGUCUACGAUGGUCGAAAGACUGAUAGUGCGACGCCGCGUGAACGAAGAAGCCCUUCGGGGUGUAAAGUUCUUUUAUAUGUGAGCAGUGGGUUCUAUAUGAAUAGUAUGGGAUCAGAGAUAUUAGCAUAUGAAUAAGCAACGGCUAACUCCGUGCCAGCAGCCGCGGUAAU
rnacentral:rRNA from 1 species